rnacentral:lncRNA from 1 species
AAUACAGGGGCGGCUGUUAAAAGUCUGUACCCUGACAUAACUACAUUACCCAUAAUGCAUGUGUUACCUUGUAGUUCUGCUUGCUCGUGGUUGCGCGAGUUGCUUUCACUUUGGUGUGGUAUAAUGAGAGUAGCAUCCACGGAGCAGAGAAUGGCCAUCCUUUGUCAAUCCUGCUCUAAUCUUGUGUGUAUGAGUGCCGUGUGCGUCCUUAAUAUAUAACCACACAUACACACACACACAUACUCACACAUUUGUGUCAAACCAUCAUCAUCUCCAUGUACCUGAUCCAUCCUCUUCAAUAAAUAAUCUAAACUGCACCAUCCAAGUUGCUUAUUCCUUCUGACCGAGGAAGACUCAGUUGACGAGCAAUCCAAAUCAGCAUCAGACGCACACGGUCUCUUACACUUUGAUUAUAAAAAGUCAGGCCUUACAAAGCUCAACAAUUAUCCCGAUCGUAUGUGCAUUAUGAAGAGCUGGGCAAUAUAUUGUCUAAAAGAUCAUGUUGAAAUUGAUGAUUGAGUACUGCAAUGUAUUUCUUUGAUUUUAGGAAAAUGAGUAUUCUAAAUACAACACUGUAAAUGUGGCCUGUUAGUAACUUAGGAAUUUGAAAAAUGCACUUUGCAAAAGCCCACAGACCAGAAUGGCAUUGAACUCAACUUUCCCCUCUCUGUUUUGAUCUUUUCAAACUAAAAUAUGACUGAGUACUGCGAUGUAUUCCUCUGAUUAUAAGAAAGUAACAGUAUUCUAAUUACCCUCAAAUGAAAGAGGAACUACCUCAAAAUGAGUAUUCUAAAUACAUGUAUUGUGUUACCCAACACUGUAAAUAAACUUAGAUAUUUAGAUUAUGCCACUUCACAGCCAUUUCUGUCCCUGUCCAACCAAGAAUGGGCAUGACACUCUUACUGUAAAUUUGGAACAUUGCUUUGCAGCCUAACACUAUCCCAGCAAUCUCCAUACUUCACCAUUUUAGGGGCAUAAGCAGCACAUUUAUGUCUCCUUACAGGAUAUGCUUCGUGAUUAAUAAAGUCAAUCUAAUCCUAGCUUGUAUCUGUUAGGCUCAUAGUUCAAUACGUUCCUAACUGUUAAACAGGUUCUACUUUAAACUGUUGGAGGUGGUCAUCCUAUCACAGAUUUACGGCUAUACAAUGGAAGACAUGAGGAUUGUGUGAAAGGGGCUGCAGGGGAAGGGGAGUUACAUUGAGCAGUACUGUUGCUGUUUCUGAAAUAGACCUAAACAAGAUUUAAAAAAUGCUAAACUGGGUGUAGUUCAUGUUUGAACCAAAAACCUGAACAUUAAAAACAUUAAUAAAAAUGAUCUCUGAUUGAAAUGAAAUUGGGUCAUUCUAUGUGGUUUCACCCAAAGCCUCCGGUGGCCCUCUCAGAUUUGGAUGCCUCCACAUGUGUAAUGAACACAUGCAAAGUGAUUUGCUCUAACUCCCAAUAGUUCUUAGCUUUAGACAAUUUACAAACAGGGAGUUGUAACCACCUUUUCUGCUCCCGGGUGCUUUUUGCGUUUGUGAGCACUUUUAAUUAAAGAGCUGUAGCUCAGUAAUUCGGUAUGAGCCAUGUCUACUAAACUGUACAAUCUAGAUUGUACAGUUUUGAUUUAUAGGCUGCUAAAAAUGGCAAUUUUUAAUUUGGGAUUUUUUCCCCCCAAAUUGUGAGGGGCUCUAGAAAAGAAGUGUAUUGAGUGAUCAUCUUCAUAUUCUAGAUUUUAGUUUAGUAGGAUAUAACCUUGUUGCAGUAGAAGCAGGAUGUCGAUCGGAUAAAGGGCCUUUGAGUUAUAGCUUCACAACGAUGGGUCCUACUCAGAAAAGCUCAAUAAUGGACCUCUAGUCUAUGCAGCAAUUAACCACGUAGUCAACUACUGAGGCAGUUCAACUUUUUUCACAGAUAGAAGCCUUAUCAGUCAGUCUGUAGCCAGACAUUUUUAUCUAUCUCCAAUGGCUUCAUGGUUAAAACAUAUUUUGAAUGCUACUCGUUUUUUGCAAAAAACAAGUGCAUUUCUAACCAUCUAUUCAUUGUUAAAAUAAAAAAGACAAGGAGAAAUGCAUAUUUAUGUACACAGACCAAUAUGAAUAGAACAUUUUAGUUUUACAUGUAUGUAGAUACAUUUGUUUACCUCAAAACCGCUGCAGAUACAGUAUGUCUCCCACUUUGAAUUCUCACUAGCUUCAUUAUACUAUCUUAAAGGGAUAUUCAAUGCAAACAUAUUUUUUUAGAUUGCACAUGUUUGAACAUUUCUGUUUUUUUUUUUUCAACUCCUCCUUCUGCAGCCUGUACCAUCUGCCAGUAUGGUGGGUCUUCAUAGGAACAUCCACAGCACAAAGAAUGUGGUGAAAUGGCCCAACACUGGUCUUGG